GUGAUGGUAGUCAAUGCAGGUAUCUGCUUGCAAAUUUGCCUGACUCUGCAAUGGGAGCGCAUCUCCUCAGGGAAGUGGCCUGCCUCUUAUGUCACAAAUCUUUUUUCAGCUUUAAAAGCAAGUACUAUCUCCAGUUGAAAGCAGUUCCAAUAGGAAGCAGUAUGGUGCUUUCUUGGCUGAAAUCAUCUUAAGAGAGGUAGACAUAUGUUCCAUAAUAGUAUGAGGUUUUAUUUACACUACGUUGAUGACAUCUUGACUGUGUGGGACAAAGAGGCAAAGCCUGAAACUUUAGCUGAACAACUUUCCAUAGAAUCAUAUGGCUUUGUACUUAAACAACAACAGUUAAGUCACUCUUCUGCACGCCUUUUACACAUUAGUUUGAAAAUAGAGGAUACAAUAUGGGAAACUUCAGUGUACAGAAAACAUCUUAUGAACCUGUUGUUAUCCCUAGAUGGUCCUCAGAUCUGAUAAGAUAUAAAAUACCUGCCUUUAAUUUUUAUUUUAGAAGAGCCAAUACAUACAUCACCAAGAGAAGGAGAAGGAACUUCAAUAUAUCUGUGAAAUAGGGCACCAGCAUGGAUGUGGUAGGUACUUUUUGCAGAGCAUUUAUUGUAGAAUCAUCAUACAACAGACCCACAUGGUCCAAUCGGAAAACAUGGGAGACCAAGGUAAUCAAGGUUAUGUGCAAGUACCCUAUGCAAUGAAAGAAUAUCACUUGC
rnacentral:lncRNA from 1 species